UACGUAGGGUGCGAGCGUUAAUCGGAAUUACUGGGCGUAAAGUGUGCGCAGGUGGCUGAGCAAGUCGAGUGUGAAAUCCCCGGGCUCAACCUGGGAACUGCGCUUGUGACUGGCAGGCUAGAGUAUGGCAGAGGGGGGUGGAAUUCCACGUGUAGCAGUGAAAUGCGUAGAGAUGUGGAGGAACACCGAUGGCGAAGGCAGCCCCCUGGGCCAAUACUGACGCUCAUGCACGAAAGCGUGGGGAGCAAACAGG
rnacentral:rRNA from 1 species